AGACCCGAAACCCGGUGAUCUAGCCAUGGGCAGGUUGAAGGUUGGGUAACACUAACUGGAGGACCGAACCGACUAAUGUUGAAAAAUUAGCGGAUGACCUGUGGCUGGGGGUGAAAGGCCAAUCAAACCGGGAGAUAGCUGGUUCUCCCCGAAAGCUAUUUAGGUAGCGCCUCGUGAAUUCAUCUCCGGGGGUAGAGCACUGUUUCGGCUAGGGGGCCAUCCCGGCUUACCAACCCGAUGCAAACUGCGAAUACCGGAGAAUGUUAUCACGGGAGACACACGGCGGGUGCUAACGUCCGUCGUGAAGAGGGAAACAACCCAGACCGCCAGCUAAGGUCCCAAAGUCAUGGUUAAGUGGGAAACGAUGUGGGAAGGCCCAGACAGCCAGGAUGUUGGCUUAGAAGCAGCCAUCAUUUAAAG
rnacentral:rRNA from 6 species